AAGACCUUGCGCUUUUGGAGCGGCCGAUGUCUGAUUAGCUUGUUGGUGAGGUAAAAGCUUACCAAGGCUUCGAUCAGUAGCUGGUCCGAGAGGACGGCCAGCCACACUGGGACUGAGACACGGCCCAGACUCCUACGGGAGGCAGCAGUGGGGAAUUUUGGACAAUGGGGGCAACCCUGAUCCAGCCAUGCCGCGUGAGUGAAGAAGGCCUUCGGGUUGUAAAGCUCUUUCAGCCGGAACGAAACGGUUACGGUUAAUACCCGUGACUACUGACGGUACCGGAAGAAGAAGCACCGGCUAACUACGUGCCAGCAGCCGCGGUAAUACGUAGGGUGCAAGCGUUAAUCGGAAUUACUGGGCGUAAAGCGUGCGCAGGUGGUUUUGUAAGUCAGAUGUGAAAUCCCCGGGCUUAACCUGGGAACU
rnacentral:rRNA from 1 species